GCGAUGAAAGCCCCCUUGACCCUGCUAGCUUGCAAAAAAAGAAAAACAAUAGAUGAAGCGAACAGGAAUCAGGGGAGCAACCCCAUCACCACCCUUGCCUUUGAGUACCUUCUGUUUCCUCGGCGGGUUCGCCCGCCAAUGGGGACUAAUUACAAACUCUUUGUAGUAGCAGUACAGUCUGAAAAGAAAAAGUAAAUCUUUUUA
rnacentral:misc_RNA from 1 species